rnacentral:lncRNA from 1 species
CAGUAGAAGAUGCCAAUUUAAAUAAACUGCUGCAUUCCUGAGACACAGGGCAGGAAAUGAAAGCUAUUGAACUCCUCAAGACCAAGAGACUAUUGUGAAAGAGGUUUCUCCAUCUUGCUGGUAGUGAACUGAUGUCCGGAAGUUUGAUGGCCGAAGAGUAUACCGUUGUGCAUAUAUCCUUCAAUUCCUGAUUUUAUCAUCUGUAGAAAGACAAGACAAAUGGCCACUCUGACCAGCGUGUGAUGGCACCGGUACCUCAUCUCUGAUGAUUGGUGAUGUUGAGCAUUCCCCACGCCUGUUGGAAUGGCAAUCCCUUGGAAAUGUCUUCUCAAUAGUUACUACCCAUAGAGAACAGACCCUCCCAGUCUUCAGUGCACUCUAAAUACUGGCUAAUUCUGGCCAAUGGAAGGCAUCUGUGGAAGAAAAAAGCCUCAGAUCAUGUGCUGUCUGUCUUUAUUCAGUGUGACAUAUUAGGUAAUGGUCACAGACACUCACCAUGGCCCCAGUUUUUAAUAACAUGACCCUGCUUUUGUGUUCCAGUAACUUCUGUUGUUUUCCCAAUCCUAAGUAUGAUAGAAACUUCCUGCUGCUGCUAAUCUCUGGGUUCCAUUUAAAAUCCUUCCAUCACAUGAAUACUAUGCUGUGUUCUAAAUUUUUCCAUAAUUAAAUACUUACAAUUAUUUUUGCCUACUUCUUUUGCCCCUUAGUGAUAUGUUUUAAAAACACUUAUAAUGUGUCACAAUAUAUUUAGCAAAUGUAGGGAAUGACAUUUUUACUUUCGUCAGCAUUUACACUAGCAUUUAUGGAGCGAUGCUAUAUAAAGUAUUUUUAGUAAUUUAAACGUUAUAUAACAGAUAUCCGUUGAUUCCUUUGUUUCUACGUAAAUAAGUAUACUUGAGAUAUUCAGUAAACAGUAUUGAAUACAUGUUUCAUUUGUAUAAUAUAAAAUUAUGAUUAUUCUUUUUAAACAGUACAUCAUAUUUGCUUGUUGGCUUUAUGAUAACUUAGAAAUAAUAUUCUGGAUUAACUGUGUGACUCAUGAGAAGAUUUGUGCAACUAUGUUUCCAAAUUUACUUGAUUUUCAAGACUUACACUAGAACUGUGAGAACAGGGUAAUAAAUAAGCAUAUGUAUUAAUAUCACCUUUGGUCAACUCUUGGGUAGCCCCAACGGUAGUGUAGGAAUUAACGUAAUUUUUCCUACUAAAAGUAUUGGAUUUGUUUUGAGAGACCACAGUUGAAAAUCAUUGACAUACAAAGUUUAAAAAUUGUUAGGUUAAAAAAUUUUAAAUGCAUUUGAAGUGGUUUUAUAGAAAAAUAAUUAUCUAACUUGGUUUAUAUUGACAGGUUGUUUUCUUGGAUAAGAACUAGACGAAGAGAAAGGGAGAUUAGUGAUAAAUGUCCAGGUUUUCAAGUUGAAAAGUAACAAUCAGUGUAUUACAACAGAUGGAUGUGAUGUCAAAUUACAAAUGCUGAAAACGUUAUAUGUAAUCAUGUAGCCAGAGUAAUCAUACAAGGCAAAGAACGGAAAGGCAUCCAAAUAGGAAAGAGGCUGGAAUGCAGUGGCACCAUCUCAGCUCACUGCAACCUCCGCCUCUGGGUUCAAGUGCUGCUCCUGCCUCAGUCUC